rnacentral:tRNA from 2 species
GGAGGCGUCGCCUAGUCCGGUCUAUGGCGCCCGCCUGCUAAGCGGGUUGAGGGUUCAUCCCCUCUCGCGGGUUCAAAUCCCGCCGCCUCCGCCA